CCUACGGGUGGCUGCAGUGAGGAAUAUUGGUCAAUGGACGCGAGUCUGAACCAGCCAAGUAGCGUGAAGGAUGACGGCUCUAUGGAUUGUAAACUUCUUUUAUAUGGGAAUAAAAUGUGCCACGUGUGGGAUUUUGUAUGUACCAUAUGAAUAAGGAUCGGCUAACUCCGUGCCAGCAGCCGCGGUAAUACGGAGGAUCCGAGCGUUAUCCGGAUUUAUUGGGUUUAAAGGGUGCGUAGGUGGAUUGUUAAGUCAGUGGUGAAAGUUUGCGGCUCAACCGUAAAAUUGCCGUUGAAACUGGCAGUCUUGAGUACAGUAGAGGUGGGCGGAAUUCGUGGUGUAGCGGUGAAAUGCUUAGAUAUCACGAAGAACUCCGAUUGCGAAGGCAGUUCACCGGACUGUAACUGACACUGAGGCUCGAAAGUGUGGGUAUCAAACAGGAUUAGAUACCCGAGUAGUC
rnacentral:rRNA from 1 species